UACGGAGGGUGCAAGCGUUAUUCGGAAUUACUGGGCGUAAAGCGCACGCAGGCGGCUGAGUCAGUCGAUUGUGAAAGCCCUGGGCUUAACCUGGGAAUUGCAGUCGAUACUACUCAGCUAGAGUAUGGGAGAGGGUAGUGGAAUUCCCGGUGUAGCGGUGAAAUGCGUAGAUAUCGGGAGGAACAUCAGUGGCGAAGGCGGCUACCUGGCCCAAUACUGACACUCAGGUGCGACAGCGUGGGGAGCAAACAGG
rnacentral:rRNA from 1 species